GGUACUGCUUUUUGUGCUGGGGAUACUGUGGUAAACAAGACAGGCAAUGUUUCUCUUCCCAUGCAACUUACAUCCUGCUCUUUCCUGACACAAACCAUGAGUCAGAUGGGGCAUCAUCUCCAGGAAACCUUCCUUGAUUCUACCCGGAACUUCCUACCCUAUGGCUAAGUAAGACAUCUCCACCCUGUGGCUAAAGUUGGGAGCUUCCAGAAAUAGCAACAGCCUGGACUUCUUUCUGUGUGUUCCUUCAUCAGACUUGACCUGUUUGAACCAAUGAUUGCACUUAGGAAAGCAGUCUUGGGUCUUCCGUAACUUAAAUAUGAUUAUUCUUCAAGAUCUCAAACCAAAUCUUGCUCAUGAUUUUUUAUGUCUGGGUUGUUAUAUAAAGGCAUAUAUUUGCAGACUA